rnacentral:rRNA from 1 species
UGUUUGACUACAGCUCCAGAGAAAGCCAUGGCUAACUCUGUGCCAGCAGCCCCGGUAAUACAGAGAUGGCAAGCGUUGUUCGGAAUCAUCGGGCGUAAAGCGCACGUAGGCGGCCUAGCAAGUCGGAUGUGAAAUCCCCUGGCUUACCCAGGGAACUGCAUUCGAUACUGCAAGGCUUGAGGACAGGAGGGGAGAGUGGAAC